ensembl:lncRNA
GAACCAGCAGUCAGGUGACUGUGACUCAGACACCAGUAGUGUCCGUUGCUCCAGGAUCCACAGUCACUCUGACCUGUAAAACAAACCCAGCAGUUUACACAUAUAGUACUAAUCAGUAUCUACACUGGUACCAACAGAAACAUGGAGAAGCCCCCAAGCUCAUCAUAAAAUAUGCAGACCAACUUGUAUCACCAACACCAGCUCGGUUUAGUGGCAGUGGAAGCAGCACUGACUUCUCUCUGACCAUCACCGGCGCCCAGCGUGAAGAUGCAGCAGUUUAUCACUGUCAGAGUGUCCACUAUCCUAACAGUGUCUGGGUGUUCACACAGUGAUUGAGAGCCGUACAAAAACCUCCCUCAGUCACACUGCGUAGACACUGAGCUGUUACAGCAGGAACCUGCUGCAGCUGCUGAGGGGGAAGAGACUCUGACACAGAGCGCUGAGCACAGAGCUGGCUCUAACCAGGGGCCUCAACCAAGAGCCAGCAUUAGAUUCCUCAGCAUUAUUAAACAUACAAGUACUACCUCAAGUACCACGUAUUACAUACAACUAUUAUCUCAACUACCACAUCGUCGCUGUCCGAUGAAAACCGCGUAUGUCCAUUUUUGCCGAUUUUGAGAUUUUACGAUGAUAGUUAUGUCCAGGUUCAUUUCCGUAUACAGUAUGCGUCAUGAACCUAAUUGACCAAUGAAAAGUUGUGAAACACGUCAUCUGAUUUUCAAGUAUAUCCAUUUGGUGUCAAAGCUGUCAGUCCCGCCGCGUAUCUCCCGCCCUGUGGAGUCAUCUCAUUAGCGUCUCUGGAAGCGCAUCAUCGGGUAGCCGAAUAACACUUUGAAGGAUGUCUUUCUCUCUUAAGGAGAUGUGUGAAAUGGUCAAUGUCAGGUAUGAUAGGGUACUUGAGGCGAACGUGAGGGUCAACAAUGAGGAGGAAGAUUCAGUUGAAAGUGACGGUGCAAAUACAGCUGCCAAUGAGGAUUCUCUGGAAAGUGAUAAUGACAAUCACUCUGAAAGUGCCAGUGAUGACUCACUUGAACACGAUCCUGAAAAUGACCCGGAAUACACACCUGUCAAUGAAGAUGCUGUUGAUGUUGAUGUUGCUGUUGACCGGGGAAGGUCAAGAAAGAGGGCCAACCCAGACGCUUGGAAGGGUAACAUUCAGAAAAGGAGAAGAAUGAGGGGCCAAUCAUAUCUUGGACGAAAAAAAAAUGAAUUCAUCAACAUAGAAGAAAGAAAAAUGGAGGGGCGGUGCCUGGCUGAGGCCUGCCGGAAAUCCAGCAAACUACACUGCACCGAAAUCGAUGAAGGGAAGAGGGAAAAAAUAUUCAAGUAUUUUUGGGGGAAAUUGGACUGGAAAGAAAGGAAAAUCUAUGUGAAGUCACUGGUGGAGGUGAGUGAUGUCAAGCGGCGCCGGACAGAAGCGGUUCAGUCUCGGAGGUCAGCAUCUCUCUGUUGUUUUUUAUGUGUUGAUGGUAAAAGGCUCAGAGUUUGUCAGCGGAUGUUCCUGUCGACCCUUGGCAUCAAGCAGUGGAGUGUUCUAAAAUGGGUUGGAAGAAGAGAUGAAAGUCCUGAGAAGACGGCAAGAGUGAGGGUGAGGACAGAGGAGCGGGACUUCCUAAAGUCCUUUCUUCUUGAACUGCCGAAAGUACCAUCGCACUACUGUAGGUCCUCCUCUUCCAAGAUGUACCUGGAGCCUUUAUUCAAAUCAAUCAAUCAUCUCCACUCACAAUAUAAGCAGGCAUGUGCAGCCAACGGCAUCCAGGCUCUGUCAAGACAAGUGUUCAGUAACACCUUUAAAGAAUUAAAUCUGUCAUUGUUCCAUCCAAAAAAAGAUCAGUGUGACACUUGCUGUGCCUUCAAAGCCGGGAACAUCGAGGCUGCUGUGUGGGAGGAACACUGCGUUAAGAAGGACGAGGCACGAGCAGAAAAGGAUAGGGACAAGCAACUUGCAAAUAACACCACCUUGGUUGCAUGCAUGGAUCUGCAGGGCCUUCUCCUCUGCCCAAAGCUUCAAGCGUCUGCCCUCUAUUUCAAAAUGAAGCUGAGUGUCCAUAAUUUUACCAUCUACAAUAUGGCAUCACAUGAAGCGACAAAUUACCUUUGGCAUGAGGGUGAGGGGGGGGUCUCUGCCAAUGAGUUUGCCUCCUGCAUUGUGGACUAUCUUGAAACACACCUCACUUACACUGAAUUCAUUCUUUGGAGUGAUGGGUGUGGUUAUCAAAACCGAAACCUGGUCCUGAGCAAUGCCCUCUUAAAGUUUGCCACUGAAAGAAAAAAGCAAGUGACGCAGAAGUACCUUCAAAGAGGCCACACACAGAUGGAAUGUGACUCUGUGCACAGUGUGAUCGAAAGAAAGCUAAGGAACCGAGAUGUACAUGUUCCAGCUGAGUAUGCUGCAGUCAUUCGGGGAGCUCGUUCAAGUCCAAAACCAUACGAGCUGAAGUAUGUUGAUUACAGCUUUUUCCAAGACUUCAGCAAAGUGAAAAUCUGCAAGUCAAUUCGACCUGGUAGCAAAGCAGGCGAUCCUACGGUGCAUGACCUCCGAGCAGUCAGAUACAAUGUGGACGGCAGUAUGGAGUUCAAAUUACUCCACUCCGACAACUGGCAACCCUUCACAUCCCCAUCCCUGAGGAAGGCGUGUGUCAGCGUGGCCCCACUCUAUACAUCCCCCCAGAAAAUUAAAGCACUGAAGUUCAAGCACCUUCAAGAACUGAAACAUGUCUUACCGAAGGACUUUCAUCCAUUUUAUGAUGCACUUGACCAUGAGUGA